AACAGGUGCUAAUACCGCAUAACAACUUGGACCGCAUGGUCCGAGCUUGAAAGAUGGCUUCGGCUAUCACUUUUGGAUGGUCCCGCGGCGUAUUAGCUAGAUGGUGGGGUAACGGCUCACCAUGGCAAUGAUACGUAGCCGACCUGAGAGGGUAAUCGGCCACAUUGGGACUGAGACACGGCCCAAACUCCUACGGGAGGCAGCAGUAGGGAAUCUUCCACAAUGGACGAAAGUCUGAUGGAGCAACGCCGCGUGAGUGAAGAAGGGUUUCGGCUCGUAAAACUCUGUUGUUAAAGAAGAACAUAUCUGAGAGUAACUGUUCAGGUAUUGACGGUAUUUAACCAGAAAGCCACGGCUAACUACGUGCCAGCAGCCGCGGUAAUACGUAGGUGGCAAGCGUUGUCCGGAUUUAUUGGGCGUAAAGCGAGCGCAGGCGGUUUUUUAAGUCUGAUGUGAAAGCCUUCGGCUCAACCGAAGAAGUGCAUCGGAAACUGG
rnacentral:rRNA from 2 species